CCGUCAGAGCUGCUUUAUUUUGAAAGUUCAUCUUCUCAGAACAGAGCAGGAGCUCCACAAGGAGAAGAUCAGGUGGAGAUGGUGAGGACACACUUCAGUCCAGAGACUGUCAGCUGGAGCGCAGCCCACUGACCUCUGGGAAGGCUUGACGUGAUGGUGCUGGUUCUGCACCAGACCCGUUAUAAAGCACUGAAGGAGAUCUGAGGCCAGAAGAUCCAAGAGCGACUAGAAGAACGAGACAUGAAGACCGAGAGCCUCGCUCUGCGGCUGCUUUAGCUUCUCAAAGGAUGAAAGACGACGACCUUCAACCUAAAGUUCAUAGAUGGUAGAACAUCAGUCAAUCAUCCGAAUCCUGUUUGCUGUGAUCCAGGAUUCAUAAUAAAGAGAGACCCGACCUGGAAGACAUCUCCUUUCUACAAAGACGAUGUCUCUGGUUGUUCCUGCAGAUGUUCACACUCGGCUGCAGACUCAGAUCCAGUCAGAUAAAGAAACCAUUUCUCAGUUUGGCUGCAGAAGUGCUGCACAGAACUGAUGAAGGACUUCUGCUUGUGCACACGGAUGCAGUCAGACUGUGACCUGCAGGAGCUCCAGCACGGACCUUCAUGCUGGGAG